CCUACGGGCGGCAGCAGUGAGGAAUAUUGGUCAAUGGACGAGAGUCUGAACCAGCCAAGUAGCGUGAAGGAUGACUGCCCUAUGGGUUGUAAACUUCUUUUAUAUGGGAAUAAAAUGUUCCACGUGUGGGAUUUUGUAUGUACCAUAUGAAUAAGGCUCGGCUAACUCCGUGCCAGCAGCCGCGGUAAUACGGAGGAUCCGAGCGUUAUCCGGAUUUAUUGGGUUUAAAGGGAGCGUAGGUGGAUUGUUAAGGCAGUUGUGAAAGUUUGCGGCUCAACCGUAAAAUUGCAGUUGAAACUGGCAGUCUUGAGUACAGUAGAGGUGGGCGGAAUUCGUGGUGUAGCGGUGAAAUGCUUAGAUAUCACGAAGAACUCCGAUUGCGAAGGCAGUUCACUGGACUGCAACUGACACUGAGGCUCGAAAGUGUGGGUAUCAAACAGGAUUAGAUACCCGUGUAGUC
rnacentral:rRNA from 1 species